rnacentral:rRNA from 1 species
GAGAAGCAAAGCCGCGAGGUAGAGCAAAUCUCAAAAAAACAUCUCAGUUCAGACUGCAGGCUGCAACUCGCCUGCACGAAGUCGGAAUUGCUAGUAAUCGUAGGUCAGCAAACUACGGUGAAUACGUUCCCGGGCCUUGUACACACCGCCCGUCAAACCAUGAGAGUUGGCAACACCCGAAGUCGGUAGUCUAACCGCAAGGAGGACGCCGCCGAAGGUGGGGUUGAUGAUUAGGGUUAAGUCGUAACAAGGUACC